GUAUAAUUAUUGUUUGUUAUCAACAAGGAAGAAGAAGAUGGAGAAGAAGAGCAUCUAGUUAAAAGAUAUGUUUUUUAUUGGAAUUGAACUUUUGAUUAAAUCUACAGACCAAGCGGAUGUAAGAGAAGUUCCCAAGAAGAAGAACAAAGAAGAGUAGCAGAGAACAAGCUACAAAGAAGGAAGAAGAAGAAGAAAAGACUUGAGGCGCAAGAAACCUAAGAGUGAAGAAGAAGAUUACUCUCUUCUCUCUCUACAAGAACAAGAAAAGAAACAAGGGAGUAAAGAGACUGUGUGUGCUUGUGUAAUGGGUCUGGUUUGUUCUUCGUUGGUCACUAAAGAGACUCGGCUAUACAAUGUUUGAAAAGGAAGAGAUUAUAUGAGCAACAAGUUGAACAGCUUGGCAACUUCCAGCUCCGUAUCCAUGAUCAAAUGAUUAUGUUGGAAGGUGCCAAAGCAACAACAGAGACUGUAGAUGCUUUGAGGACUGGUGCUGCUACUAUGAAAGCUAUGCAGAGAGCUGCGUACGUGUUUUAUAUAUAUACCUAACCUCUUUUUUAUUUAUUUAAGCAGCAGACUAAGUGUGCGAUGUGUGUUUUGGCAGAAACAUUGACGAUGUUGACAAGACGAUGGAUGAGAUCAAUGAGCAAACCGAUAACAUGAAACAGAUCCAGGACGCAUUGUCUUCUCCCUUUGGCUCUGCUGCUGAUUUCGGUGAGGUAAAAU